ACAACUUUCAGCAACGGAUCUCUUGGCUCUCGCAUCGAUGAAGAACGCAGCGAAAUGCGAUAAGUAAUGUGAAUUGCAGAAUUCAGUGAAUCAUCGAAUCUUUGGACGCACCUUGCGCUCCUUGGUAUUCCGAGGAGCAUGCCUGUUUGAGUGUCAUUA
rnacentral:rRNA from 1 species